rnacentral:rRNA from 1 species
GACGAACGCUGGCGGCGUGCUUAACACAUGCAAGUCGAACGGAAAGGCCCUGCUUUUGUUGGGUGCUCGAGUGGCGAACGGGUGAGUAGCACGUGAGUAACCUGCCCUUUACUUUGGGAUAACUUCAGGAAACUGGGGCUAAUACCGGAUAGGAGCUCCUGCUGCAUGGUGGUGGUUGGAAAGUUUCGGCGGUUGGGGAUGGACUCGCGGCUUAUCAGCUUGUUGGUGGGGUAGUGGCUUACCAAGGCUUUGACGGGUAGCCGGCCUGAGAGGGUGACCGGCCACAUUGGGACUGAGAGACGGCGCAGACGCCUACGGGAGGAAGCAGGGGGGAAUAUUGCACAAUGGGCGGAAGCCUGAUGCAGAAACGCCGCGUGCGGGAUGACGGGCUUCGGGUUGUAAACCGAUUUCGCAGGUGACGAAGAGUGAGUGACGGUAAUGGGUAAAGAAGCACCGGCUAACUACGUG